GGCGAAGCCUGUAGCUCCACACCUUCACCUUGGCUUCCGGGGACUUGUUGACAGAAUGGCCGUGCAAACAGCCUGUGGACAAUGAAGUGGCCUCCCUCUUAAGAUGCUCAGAACAGCAAGGUAUUGAUCCCAGAUGAAUCUCUCGAAGUAUCCUUUACUGCCCUUCCAAGACCCUCCAUUCCCUGGAGCAUAGUGAGGUGGCUCUCCUCGUCAGCAUCUUCCUGGGAUGGGCAUCAAGAACAGGACUUAAAGGAAAUAUCAUUGCUAAGACACUCUUCCACAAAAACAGCGCCCUCUGGAUCCGCACCCCACACCCCCACCUCCGGCUUCAUCCUGCUUCUUUCCCUCACGUGGGACGCCUACCACAGCAUGGCUUUUGCCAAGCGGUGCCAUGUCCACAGCUGGGAUCCAAACCAGCGAACGCCGAGCUUCUGAGAAGCAGAACGUGCGAACUUAACUGCUGCGCCAUCAGGCCGGCCCCACAUGAACAGUUUAAAUAUUACAUCAUUAAAAGUAAAAAGAUUUGGGCCUUUUUAAAUAUCACUAUCUAACCUUUGGACCUCCAACUCCAGUCCUCUGAUGUUUCAUGGGAAAGUCUUCAAACUCUAUCCUGAUCAUUGCCGUGCAGAUUAAGUUAGAUCACUUCACUUUUGCAAAUGGCUCCAAAAUCACCUCUCCCAGGAAUCUGGGCGAGCCAAAACUCUCUCUUUUUUUUUUUUUCAUUUUAUUUUGUUUAUUUAUUUAUUUUGAGGAAGAUUAGCCCUGAGCCAACAUCUGCUGUAAUCCUCCUCUUUUUGCUGAGGAA